rnacentral:rRNA from 1 species
CAAGACCUUGCGCUUUUGGAGCGGCCGAUGUUGGAUUAGCUAGUUGGUGAGGUAAAGGCUUACCAAGGCUUCGAUCAGUAGCUGGUCUGAGAGGAGGACCAGCCACACUGGGACUGAGACACGGCCCAGACGGCUACGGGAGGCAGCAGGGGGGGAUGUUGGACAACGGGUGCAACCCUGAUCCAGCCAUGCCGGGUGAGUGAAGAAGGCCUUCGGGUUGUAAAGCUCUUUCAGCAGGAACGAAAAGGUUACGGUUAAUACCCGUGACUAAUGACGGUACCGGAAGAAGAAGCACCGGCUGACUACGUGCCAGCAGCCGCGGUAAUACGUAGGGUGCGAGCGUUAAUCGGAAUUACUGGGCGUAAAGCGUGCGCAGGCGGUUUUGUAAGUCAGAUGUGAAAUCCCCGGGCUUAACCUGGGAACU